UUUAUAAUAGUAUAGAAUCAUGCACUAGAUUUAGGAUCUAGAGACGAGGUAAAACCUCUUAUAAAA
rnacentral:tRNA from 1 species